UUUUGAUUUGCCAUGGGCGAAGCCUGAUGCAGCGACGCCGCGUGAGGGAUGACGGCCUUCGGGUUGUAAACCUCUUUCAGCAGGGACGAAGCGCAAGUGACGGUACCUGCAGAAGAAGCACCGGCUAACUACGUGCCAGCAGCCGCGGUAAUA
rnacentral:rRNA from 1 species